ACGGUCAUAUCACAUUGAAACACCAGUUAUCCGUCGAUCAACGAUUUUAAGCAACAUUGAGCAUGGUCAGUACUUACAUGGGUGACCGCCUGGGAAUACCAGAUGCUGU